UUGCCUGAGGCUCGACCCAUUUUCUAAACGGGCAUAUAUAUUUGCCCAAACCCUCUCAUUUUUCGAGCGGUCUUUUGGGCAUGGACGGGUGAUUCGACUUAUGAUCAGGUCUAUUUGCAACACAAAUUUAAUUAUAGAUUUAAAUAAUAAUAUAAAAACAUCUAAAAAAAUAAAACUACUAUAAUAUAAAAGUAAGAGUGUGCAUAUAUAUUAAAAGUUAUGCACCU
rnacentral:lncRNA from 1 species